rnacentral:tRNA from 1 species
UCCCUGGUGGUCCAGUGGUUAGGCCUCCUCACUCUCACUGCCAAGGGCCUGGGUUCAAUCCCUGGUCAGGGAA